UACGAAGGGGGCUAGCGUUGUUCGGAUUUACUGGGCGUAAAGGGCGCGUAGGCGGCCUGUUAAGUCGAACGUGAAAUCCCCGGGCUCAACCCGGGAACUGCGUCCGAUACUGGCAGGCUUGAAUCCGGGAGAGGGAGUGCGGAAUUCCGAGGUGUAGCGGUGAAAUGCGUAGAUAUCUGGAGGAACACCGGUGGCGAAGGCGGCAUCCUGGACCGGCAUUGACGCUGAGGCGCGAAAGCCAGGGGAGCAAAGCGGG
rnacentral:rRNA from 1 species